rnacentral:lncRNA from 1 species
GGGGCCGGGGUGACACCGCACGCCAUCAGCUGCUGCCAGCCCCUUUAAUCUCUCCCAGCGAAGAGAUAAACCGAGAGCAGGACAAGCUGUGGAGGAGGGCGAGGGGAGAGGAUGCUGGGGCAGCUGCAGCCAGAAGAACUUGUGGAGCAGGAAGUAUCGAAUAGAGCGUGCAUGAGGAGCCCGAGACGACCAGAUCAGAUUGAAAUAGGAAAAGGCAGCUCUGCCUGCUCUGAGAGUCUCUUUGGUGCCAGAGAAGAGGGAGAUGGCAGGCUGAGAGGAGAACGAGAUGGACGGCUGGAGCAAAUAGUGUCUAAUGAACCAUGCUGGAAACACUGUCAGAAGCAAAGAGCUGGAUCUGCAGGUCUGCAAGAGCAGAGGAGUGCUGGCUGCUUGCUUUUUGCACACAGAGAGCACAUCAGACUCUCUGCUUCCAGUUGCACAGGGCAUAGCCUACAUUCCCACUCCUUCAAAGGAUGA